CUCAAGAUUCCCCUGCUCUUUGAAGGGAAACCGCUGCCGCCGCCCUUGGGUUCCGCGGCGGGUUCCUGGCGCGCAAGGAGGGUGCGGUUUGCAGCGGCUGCCCGAGGCGCGCCGGGUCAACAAAGAACAGAAUCCAGUCUCGCUGGGACACCUGCAUCAUGUGUGGAUGUGAUCUGACCACGGUGAAUGUGCUUGUGUGCAUGCUGGCCUGUGAGCGCCCCUGUGAGGACAGCUGUGCAAGCAUGGCCGUGUAUCUGCGCACACGCCACUGCCUAAACCUCAAGCAACUACCAGCUAACCAGAAAAUCCCUGGGAUCCACCAGGUACCCUGGAAGGAAGAAUAGGCAUCAUGACCAAGGCUGAGCAGUGGACAUGGAGAUGCGCCACCUGGAUCCCCCUUCAAGGAAAGACCUGCUGUCCCAGCUGCCAAGAGCACUGUGCUAGACAGCCCCUGCAGGGGCAGCCUCCAUGCAGCGAGCCAUCUUAACCAGUGUCACGCCCUUCUGGAAGUGACCCACAUCUAAUGACCUGACCCAGGAGAAAGUACAACAGCUUUGUCACUUUAGACCCAAAUAAGACACCUCUGACCAGCUAUCCUAGCCCCAGAGCUCCUCAUGGGGUCAGCUGCGGCUGUCAGGCUGCAUCAUAGCUCGGCUUCUCCCUCUACUCCAUCCUGCUUCCUUCUCUCCCUUUUUGCAGGUGUUGAUUCUGAACGCUAAACACUGUAUGCCAGACAGCGUAAUAACCCCCCCCCAAAAUGUCCGUGUCCAUCCCCAGAACCUAUGAAUACUCUGUAGAUGUGUUUAAGUUAAGGAUCUUGAGAUAGGAAGAGUAUCCUGCAUUAUCCAGGUGGACCCAGUAUAAUCCCAAGGAUCUUUAUAAGAAGGAGACCAGAGAUCAGAGAGAGAGAAGAUGUCACUCUGCUGGCUUUGAAGGUGGAAGAAGGGGUCACAAGCCAAGGAACGUAGGCAGUCUCCAGAAUCUGGAAAAAGUAAGAAAAUAAGUUCUCCUUUAGAGCCAGAGAGCACACAGCCCUACAGACCCAUUUUAGGUUUCUGACCUUCAGAACUGUAGGAUAAGAAAUGUGUGUUGUUUUAAGCUACUAAGUUUGUGGUAAUUUGUUACAGCAGCCAAUAGGAAAUUAAUACACACUGUCAUAGAAUAUGC